GCCAAGAGAAACUAUGCUUCUGGUGGGCGCCCAUAUAUAGUAUCGUGGUGUGACUCGGACUUGGAGUAUAAAUGGGGAUUCAACCUACAGCACGUCUGGGUUCGGUUGUGCCAGUCAGAUCAUUCCAAACUGUCCUCGCAUAAAUUCCGUGUCUUUUGCUCUCUAGUGGGGCCUAAUUCCGGUGGCGUGUGACAGGAUCGUCUGCGCCUUCCGACGGCAUUUGCCUUCGGGCGUGUCGAACACUCUACGGCUGCCGUAGGCGCAUUUCCCCAGCACGGUCCCCUAGUAGUACGCCGCGACCGGUCGGGAGAAUCAAUCGAGGGCGGCGUGGCGAGACGAUCAAUGGGGAAGGUGCCCGGUCUCACGGUCUUCGCGCGUGGGGGAUUCUCCUCACGUUGCCGUCGACACGUCGGGUUCGCCCGACACGGGAUUCCGUGGUUUUACAUCCCUGUCUCGACCUGUUGCUCGUUCCCUCGCCCGACCGAGGCCGAUCACAUUGGCUUUCAGUCCAGUCCGCUCUGCGAGCGGUUAGAGACCUCGUCUCGAACAAGCCCGCGUGUCGCACCUCGCGCGUCGAUCCCUUUCCAUUCGUUCCUCCGGUCGCCGAGCGGGCUCUGCAUGGCUCCGCGAAACGGGUGCUCCUCCUCCGGGGGGCUGCGCCACGCCGCGGUGUCCUCUGCACCGAACGCUCCCGGCCCCACUCGGCUGAAACACGUCGCGUGCGAGAAGGAGGUGUCUGGAACAAACCAAAAGGGAGGUCACACCGGCGUGCGCGCGGGUCCGCCACAGCGCCCGUACGCCGACCGUUGCCGUUGGUAUCUAUGUGGUUUCAGCCGGGCUCUCCGUUGCCUCCGUGUGACGUGUGGGUCUCAGGCACCGCUAGUCCUUCGCGCUCGGUUGUCCGUCGGGUGCAGGCUCCCGCCGUGGUGCUGGAGGUCUGCGGCGAGUAGGUCGACCCUACCCGGGGC
rnacentral:rRNA from 1 species